rnacentral:rRNA from 1 species
UCCGGCUUGGGGGCGGGGGAGGUCGGCGGUAGUCCCGGGGUAUGGGCGAAAUCCUAUAAUCCCGGGAGGACCACCAGUGGCGAAGGCGGCCGACUAAAACGCGCCCGACGGUGAGGGACGAAAGCUGGGGGAGCGAACGGGAUUAGAUACCCCGGUAGUCCCAGCUGUAAACGAUGCAGGCUAGGUGUUGGAACGGCUACGAGCCGUCCCGGUGCCGCAGGGAAGCCAUUAAGCCUGCCACCUGGGGAGUACGGCCGCAAGGCUGAAACUUAAAGGAAUUGGCGGGGGAGCACCACAAGGGGUGAAGCUUGCGGUUUAAUUGGAGUCAACACCGGGAACCUUACCAGGAGCGACAGUUGGAUGAAGGUCAGAUUAAAGGUCUUACCGGACUAUCUGAGAGGAGGUGCAUGGCCGUCGCCAGUUCGUGCCGUGAGGUGUUCUCUUAAGUGAGACAACGAACGAGACCCGUACCCUUAUUUGCCAGCGGAUUCCUUCGGGAUUCUGGGCACACUAGGGGGACUGCCUCCGCUAAGGGGGAGGAAGGAGCGGGCCACGGCAGGUCAGUAUGCCCCUAAUCUCCUGGGCCACACGCGAGCUGCAAUGGCUGGGACAAUGGGAUCCGACCUCGAGAGAGGAAGGUAAUCCUCAAACCCAGCCUCAGUUGGGAUCGAGGGCUGCAACCCGCCCUCGUGAACAUGG